UACGUAGGUGGCGAGCGUUAUCCGGAUUUAUUGGGUUUAAAGGGUGCGUAGGCGGCUAUUUAAGUCAGUGGUGAAAUCCUGCAGCUCAACUGUAGAACAGCCAUUGAAACUGAAUAGCUUGAGUAAUCUUGAGGUAGGCGGAAUGUGUAGUGUAGCGGUGAAAUGCUUAGAUAUUACACAGAACACCGAUUGCGAAGGCAGCUUACUAAGGAUUUACUGACGCUGAUGCACGAAAGCGUGGGGAUCAAACAGG
rnacentral:rRNA from 1 species